rnacentral:lncRNA from 1 species
CCUUGUCCUGGGAUCUCCUUAGGGAAGGGGUGGAUCCUUCUCCUGGGAUCCCCUGGCAAUAGGAAAGGGUGGAUCCUUCUCCUGGGAUCUCUCUGGCCAUGGGAAAGGAUGGAUCCUUCCCCUGGGAUCUCCCUAAGGAAGGGGUGGAUCCUUCUCCCAAGAUCUCCCUGGCCAUGGGAAAGGGUGGAUCCUUCUCCCAAGAUCUCCCUGGCCAUGGGAAGGGGUGGAUCCUUCUCCCAAGAUCUCCCAGGCCAUGGGAAGGGGUGGAUCCUUGUCCUGGGAUCCCCUGGCCAUGGGAAGGGGUGGAUCCUUCUCCCGGGGUCCCUCCCCAGGGAAGGGCUGGCCGUCGGGAUGGACAGUUGUGGUUCUGCUCCCGGAGCUCCCCUCCCGCCCGGGCCGAGCAGGGAUGGGCUCCCUGCGUCUCCUCCAAAGAAUUCCCGGCUCCCCUUCCUCCGGAGCGUGGCAGUGCCACGGCCACGGGCACGGGGGGGCUUUGGGGGCACCGGGGGGACCCCGAGGACCGUCCCCUGCCCACAGGUCACCCCCGUGCCCCCCCCGAAAACCUGUGGAGCCCGAUUUGCACUAUGGACCUUGACGUGUGCUAAUGUGAACCUGACCUUCUCCUGCCUCUUCCCACGCGGGAAUUCCGGGAUCCCAGCCCUUCCCAGCACCCCGGAGGACCUGCAGGGACGGUGACCCCCCGGAAUUCCAGCCCAGUUGUCUCCCAGUCACCCCAAAGGACCUGGAGGGAUGGGGACCUCCAGAAUUCCAACCCAGUCACCCCCCCAGCACCCCAGAGGACCUGGUGGGAUGGAAACCCCCAGAAUUCCAGCCCAGUUGUCUCCCAGUCACCCCCCCAGCAUCCCAAAGGACCUGGAGGGAUGGGGACCCCUGGAAUUCCAGCCCAGUUGUCUCCCAGUCACCCCUCCGGCUCCUCAGAGGGACCUGGAGGGACAGUGACCCCCCGGAAUUCCAGUUGUCUCCCAGUCACCCCGAAGGACCUGGAGGGAUGGGGACCCCCAGAAUUCCAGCCCAGUCACCCCCCCAGCACCCCAGAGGACCUGCAGGGACGGUGACCCCCGGAAUUCCAGCCCAGU